UGAUGCAGCAACGCCGCGUGAGCGAUGAAGGCCUUCGGGUCGUAAAGCUCUGUCCUCAAGGAAGAUAAUGACGGUACUUGAGGAGGAAGCCCCGGCUAACUACGUGCCAGCAGCCGCGGUAAUACGUAGGGGGCUAGCGUUAUCCGGAAUUACUGGGCGUAAAGGGUGCGUAAGCGGUCUUUCAAGCCAGAAGUGAAAGGCUACGGCUCAACCGUAGUAAGCUUUUGGAACUGUAAGACUUGAGUGCAGGAGAGGAGAGUGGAAUUCCUAGUGUAGCGGUGAAAUGCGUAUAUAUUAGGAGGAACACCAUUAGCGAAGGCGGCUCUCUGGACUGUAACUGACGCUGAGGCACGAAAGCGUGGGGAGCAAACAGGAUUAAAAACCCGGGUAG
rnacentral:rRNA from 1 species